rnacentral:rRNA from 1 species
CCGGGGAUAACAGGCUUAUCUCCCCCAAGAGUUCACAUCGACGGGGAGGUUUGGCACCUCGAUGUCGGCUCAUCGCAUCCUGGGGCUGUAGUCGGUCCCAAGGGUUGGGCUGUUCGCCCAUUAAAGCGGUACGCGAGCUGGGUUCAGAACGUCGUGAGACAGUUCGGUCCCUAUCCGUCGUGGGCGUAGGAAAUUUGAGAGGAGCUGUCCUUAGUACGAGAGGACCGGGAUGGACAUACCUCUGGUGUACCAGUUGUCGUGCCAACGGCAUAGCUGGGUAGCUAUGUGUGGACGGGAUAAGUGCUGAAAGCAUCUAAGCAUGAAGCCCCCCUCAAGAUGAGAUUUCCCAACUUCGGUUAUAAGAUCCCUCAAAGAUGAUGAGGUUAAUAGGUUCGAGGUGGAAGCAUGGUGACAUGUGGAGCUGACGAAUACUAA